rnacentral:rRNA from 1 species
UACGUAGGGGGCAAGCGUUGUCCGGAAUUACUGGGCGUAAAGGGUGCGUAGGCGGUAUCUCAAGUCAGAUGUGAAAUCCCCGGGCUUAACUCGGGUGGUGCAUUUGAAACUGGGAGGCUAGAGUGCAGGAGAGGGAAGCGGAAUUCCUAGUGUAGCGGUGAAAUGCGUAGAUAUUAGGAGGAACACCAGUGGCGAAGGCGGCUUUCUGGACUGUAACUGACGCUGAGGCACGAAAGCGUGGGGAGCAAACAGG